CGGUACGAAGUCAUGUGAGGCCAGCAUAAGAACAGGAGACUGGAAGGCAGAGAGAGGAUAGAUCACUUGGAAGUGUCAGAUACCGUAAUGUGACUUCUGACGUAGCUGCACACAACCUAUGUGGCCUUGGAUGGAUGUUGGAUGCACGCCGUGAAUGCUGAUGCAUGCGGAGCCCACUUCAUCCRUGCCACGCAGCUCUGAGCAGAUACAGCAGCU